AGAUACCCGUGUAGUCCAGGGUGUAAACGCUGCAGACUUGGUGUUGGAGGCCCUUUGGGGGCAUUCAGUGCCGGAGAGAAGUUGUUAAGUCUGCUACUUGGGAGUACGUCCGCAAGGAUGAAACUUAAAGGAAUUGGCGGGGGAGCACCGCAACGGGAGGAGCGUGCGGUUUAAUUGGAUUCAACACCGUAAACUCACCAGGGAAGACUGUUACAUGAAGGCCGAGAUGAAGACUCUGCUAGAUUUUCAG
rnacentral:rRNA from 1 species